AGGGGAGGGUUGAGAUCUCACAAACAUGUUUAACCCCGCCGCAUUUUUGCGCCUGUCCCAAGUCAGGAGCCUCUUGCCUUUGUUAGUCUUGUAUUAUUUUAAUUUUAGUUUCUUGUGUACAAUUUGGAAAUUAGUAUGGCGUUCAUUAUCACUGAACUAGUAUAUAUUUGUUUAGGGGCCAGUUGAAGGACGCCUCCGGGUGCGGGAAUUUCUCGCUACAUUGAAGACCUGUUGGUGACCUUCUGC
rnacentral:lncRNA from 1 species